rnacentral:lncRNA from 10 species
CGAACUCCUGACCUCAGGUGAUCCACCCGCCUCGGCCUCUGAAAGAUCUGGGAUUACAGGCAUGAGCCACCACACCCGUCAUUUUGAAAUUCUAUUCCCGUGUUUGUUCCUGUCUCUGCCACUAGAAAGUAAGUUCCAGGAGGGCUCAUCUCAUUCGUGGUUAUAUCCUCAGAUCCUAAAACAGAGCCUGGCACUCAGUAGGUCUCAAUAUCUUUUGAAUGAAUGAAUGACGUGCUUUGAGCCAAUGGCUAAGGGCUGUGGGUCUUGCCCUGCAAUGGGGUCUGAACAAGUCAUGGACCGUCUGGGAUCUUCCUCCGAAGACAGCGUCUGGGCUGAGGUCAGCUGCAGUGAAGAACAGUGCUCCUAGAAUAAGAGUCUAGACAGGGGAGGGGCUCAGAGAGCCCAGACUGGAUCUGCCUGAGAAGAACAGAGUUCAAGGGUCUCAGAGGACAGCCCACUUAUGCUAGCAUCUUGCAGAAAGGGCAGGACGGUGGGCCUCAGCUCUAUUUUCUAUUGUUGCAUAACACGCUGUCCCAAAACUUAGUGGCUUAAAAUGAUUUUACCAUAUCUCAUGCUUUUGUGGCAGGAAUUCAUUCAGGGACUGCUGGGCAGGGUGAUUCUUCUGCCCCAUGUGGCACUGACUGAGGUCACCUGAUGGCACUCGGCUGGCAGAUGGGCUGGUCUGGAGGACCUGGAUAGCCUCCUUCGUGAGUUGAGUGGUUUGGCAAGCCAGCUGCAAGGCUGGGCUCAGUGGGGCCUGUCUCCUGGAGCACCCAUGCCUGGCCUCUCCUGCACAACAGCUCAGGGCUCCUGAGGCUGUCAGAAGACCAAGGCAGACACUGCAAGGCUGCUUUGACCUGGCCUUGGGAGUCACAUAGCACCAUUUCCAUCACACCUUAUUGGCUACAGACCCAGUGAAAAGAAUGGUGUCCUCUCCUGACAUUGUCUCUCAGGGUCUGGAAGCUUUUCCUUCAAUCUUCGAGCUCCUCACCUAUCUGAACAUGCCAUUGCCUGCAACCAAGCUUGAGAACCAACAAACAGUGGCUGCGGGUUCUGGAAACACGCAGAGUGAUAGUUCAGAGUAAUGUUGAUAGUACAUUUUAUUUAGCCCAAUAUAUAAAAAAUAUUAUUUCAACAUGUAAUCAAUAGAAAAAUGAUGUGAUAUUUUACAUUCUUUUUAAAAAAUAUUAAGUCUUUGAAACCAGUGUGUUCUUACACUUACAGCCCAUCUGAAUUUGGCCCAACCACACUCCAGUGCUCCAAAGCCAUAGAUGGCCAGGGGCAUCCACACUGGACAGCACAGGGCUAGAGGCACUGGGUGGGCCCUUCUCUAUUUCAAGCUCAGUGGUCUGGAUGUGGGCAGAAAGAGGAGUCUGGAUCUGGGUUAAAGCUACAAGAACUCCCUCCCCAGGGUUAACACCAAUAUUUUCUGUAACACUCCCCUGCCGGUAUUGAAGAGAACAGAAAGAAGGGCAAAGGAAAGAAAAUAAACAAUUUAUUUUUCUUUUAUUGUUAUUUUUAGAGACAGAGUUUGGCUCUGUUGCCCAGGCUGGAGUGCAGUGGCACAGUCAUGGCUCAUUGCAACCUUGACCCCUGAGCUCAAGCAAUCCUUCUGCCUCAGCCUCCUGAGUAGCUGGGACUUACAGGCGUGAGCCACCAUGCCUGGCUAAUUUUUAUUUUUUAUUUUUGUAGCGAUGGAGGUUCACUGUGUUGCCCAGACUGGUCUCAAACUCCUGGGUUCAAUCAAUCCUCCCACCUCAGCCUCCUAAAGUGCUGGGAUUACAGGCUUGAGCCACCGUGACUGGCCCUUAUUUUUCUUUAUAUCCACAGCAUAUUAGUAAUAAUACACCAUUGUACACAACCUUGCCUCUCCUAAUAGAAAGCACGUUCUUUCUUUAUAGAAAUAAAAGAAAAAAACCCAAAUCCCAAGGCUCUGACUGAGGUCCAGCAAGGAUUAAGGUCAUCAGGUACCAAACAGGAUCCAAGGUUGGGGAACACAUGCAGAGGCAACAACAGCCACCGACUGAGUUGACUAUAUUCUCCAUGGGGCUGAGUAUGGACAAGGCGUAUUUCCCGGACGCCAUGGGCAGGGGGUCUCCAUCAAUGACGUGGAUAUUCAACACUACAGGGCCUGGCUCCCUGCUUGCGGAGGACUCAUGGGUCACCCUGAAUGGCCCAAACUCUCUGAUACCUGGCAGAGUGAACCAGCUACAGCACGGUUGAGAGAGGUUCUCCAAAUGGGAAGAUGUAACAGACCGCUCCUCUGCAGUGACCUGCAGACCCCCAGAAAGGGUGCUCCUUGAAGCACCAGGGCCUCGGCCUCAUCAGCCACCACCACAUUCACUUGG